rnacentral:rRNA from 1 species
ACUCCUACGGGAGGCAGCAGUGGGGAAUAUUGCACAAUGGGGGAAACCCUGAUGCAGCCAUGCCGCGUGUGUGAAGAAGGCCUUCGGGUUGUAAAGCACUUUCAGUAGGGAGGAAGGUAGUGUAGUUAACACCUGCAUUAUUUGACGUUACCUACAGAAGAAGCACCGGCUAACUCCGUGCCAGCAGCCGCGGUAAUACGGAGGAUCCAAGCGUUAUCCGGAAUCAUUGGGUUUAAAGGGUCCGUAGGCGGUUUUAUAAGUCAGUGGUGAAAUCCGGCAGCUCAAACUGUCGAAACUGCCAUUGAUACUGUAGAACUUGAAUUAUUGUGAAGUAACUAGAAUAUGUAGUGUAGCGGUGAAAAUGCUUAGAGAUUACAUGGAAUACCAAUUGCGAAGGCAGGUUACUAACAAUAUAUUGACGCUGAUGGACGAAAGCGUGGGUAGCGAACAGGAUUAGAUACCCUGGUAGGAUAGCGU